rnacentral:rRNA from 1 species
GUCCCAGUUCGGAUUGAAGGCUGAAAUUCGCCUUCAUGAAGCCGGAAUUGCUAGUAAUGGCAGGUCAGCAUACUGCCGUGAAUACGUUCCCGGGCCUUGUACACGCCGCCCGUCACACCAUGAGAGUUGGGAAUACCCGAAGCCUGUGAGCUAACUUUUAGAGGCAGCAGUCGAAGGUAGAAUCAAUGAUUGGGGUGAAGUCGUAACAAGGUAGC